GUAACCAGGCUGUGAUCCUGAAAUGUCCGAAUGGGGAAACCCGGCCGUAAGGUCACUCUUACCUGAAUGCAUAGGGUAAGAGAGCGAACCUGGGGAACUGAAACAUCUAAGUACCCGGAGGAAGAGAAAACAAUAGUGAUUCCCUAAGUAGUGGCGAGCGAACGGGGAACAGCCCAAACCGUGCCCUACGGGGUGCGGGGUAGUAGGACCUGCGUAAUUCUUUUAAUCUUAAAUCGAAGCUGUCUGGAAAGCAGCACCA
rnacentral:rRNA from 12 species